rnacentral:tRNA from 1 species
GGCUGGGUAGCUCAGUUGGUAGAGCACAGGUAAGUUAAUCCAGAGGUCGCAGGUUCAAACCCUGCUCCAGUCA